rnacentral:rRNA from 1 species
GACGAACCGUGCGAACGUUAUUCGGAAUCACUGGGCUUAAAGCGCGUGUAGGCGGGACGGCACGUCCGUCGCUGAAAUCCCCCGGCUCAACCGGAGAACGGCCUCGGAUACGGGCGGCCUGGAGGCGGGUAGGGGCAAGCGGAACUGUGGGUGGAGCGGUGAAAUGCGUUGAGAUCCACAGGAACUCCGGUGGCGAAGGCGGCUUGCUGGACCCGAACUGACGCUGAGGCGCGAAAGCCAGGGGAGCGAACGGG